rnacentral:rRNA from 1 species
UACGGGGGGAGCAAGCGUUGUUCGGAUUUACUGGGCGUAAAGGGCGCGUAGGCGGUCAGCACAAGUCAAUUGUGAAAUCUCCGAGCUUAACUCGGAAAGGUCAACUGAAACUGUGCGACUAGAGUGCGGAAGGGGCAACUGGAAUUCUUGGUGUAGCGGUGAAAUGCGUAGAUAUCAAGAGGAACACCUGCGGCGAAGGCGGGUCUCUGGGCCGAAACUGACGCUGAGGAGCGAAAGCGUGGGGAGCAAACAGG